rnacentral:rRNA from 1 species
AUGCAUGUGUCAGUACAAGCCAGCUUAAGGUGAAACCGCGAAUGGCUCAUUAAAUCAGCUAUGAUUCAUUGGAUCUGUACCCCCCACUUACUUGGAUAACUGUGGUAAUUCUAGAGCUAAUACAUGCACACAGAGUCCCUGACCGUGAGGGAAGGGCGCUUUUAUUAGUUCAAAACCGGUCGGGCCUCGGUCCGUAAACCCACCUGUGAUGACUCUGAAUAACUUUUAGCUGAGCGCACGGUCUCCGUACUGGCGCCGCAUCUUUCAAGUGUCUGCCUUAUCAGCUUUCGAUUGUAGGUUAUGUGCCUACAAUGGCUAUAACGGGUAACGGGGAAUCAG